UCCGUUGUGGUCUAGGGGCUAGGAUUGUGAUUACCCCCAAAUCUCCCAUACACAACUUCGUUCUCAUAAUGUCUAGUGCCGCUCUCAGAGCUUUUACACUUAACAAGUGCCGGCAAGGCCCGGGUUCGAUUCCCGGCGACGGAA